ACGAAAGAUUAUAAUCAUUCACAGCUGUUCGCGGUGUGCGAUAUUUACAAUUUGUUUUCCACAAUUAUCUCUCUUAGUAGGCCGAGAAUUUAUAUUAUUUGAAUUUUCAAAAUAUACUGGAUUAUUGUGAAAAGUUUCAUUUUUAAUAAUCUGGACGUAGAUUAUAUCAUCCUCUAUAGAAGCCAUAACCCCUUCUGAUGGGGCCCGAUCAAAUGAUAUCAAUAAGUUUGGAGCGGGCACACCCCCGAUCAAUAUAAAGCGAUUGAGAUAAUCUAUUGUAACACCAUUACCUAAUAACCAAUCAUUUCCUAUUAAAACCGGAUUUGCUAACUGAGCGUGGGAUACAAGUAUCAAGUAUUUUGGCCAUGGACAAUUAAGAAUAACUAGAUCAAUAUAAAUUACUACAGGUAUAUAUUUGAAGGGAAAUGACAAAGCAUCGAACGCAGCACAGUAAUUCGGCGAUUAAAAGGGUAGUUCUACCACGCUAUGUCAAGAGACUCAGUAAGUCACAACGUGUACAGGUGCUAGACCAUUAAAAAGAGGAGGCCCUUAUUAUCAGAGCAGAAACCAUAGAGGAAUUAGCAACGCAAUGCAGACAAGAAGCCGUCCACGGCGAACUCCCUAAACUGUUCGAUCCAAUAUUUCACUGAAAAGGGGCGUCCUGUUUCCAGAAACGGAAGUACUCGUCAUUUCAAUUCAGGACAGGGUUAGCAGCACUAGGAAUGUUUGGAAACACGUUUCACAUCAAUACGUGUUUGAACGGUGCCGAUUAUGUGGAGAUACCAACCAAUCUGAUGAGCACAUUAUUUCUGAAUGUCGCAUAAUGAGUCAGAAAGAAUAUACGCACAGACAUAAUGAUCUGGCGGGCAUCAUACAUCAACAACUUGCCGUUAACUUAUUUACGCACUUUUCGAGAUUAUCAGGAAACGAGCGACUGAAAACCUGUGGUAUAGCCGAUGGUAGCUCUAAGAAAGUAUUUUAAGAUGACUGUUGUCACCUCCAGCGCUUGUGACCUUACCAGGCAGUAUGCCGCGUAAGGUUAUCCGCAGCAAGAAACCGGUCAGAGUGGACAGAAAGAAAAGAAGUGGGUGACGUACAAGUUUCGGUUGCGCCGAGUUGCAUUAAGCUAACUCCUCAAUGCAAAGAAUUAUGCGGUUAGGCCAUCAAUAUCGCACAGUGCCACCCUCAAUAGGUCUCUCUCGGAUGGAGGCUAUGGCUCAAUAAAAAGUCGUAAUAGAAAUGAAUCAAAGUGUCGGCCAGGCAAAGGCCCCAGCCAAACACGAGAACAUCGUUUCAAAUGGUCAAAUCAAAUCGGGAGGGACAUCCUUACUUAUUGGAAGGAAGUUUAUUGGCGCGAAGAAAAUACAUGUGGAGGUUAUAUGGACUUUUAGUCACUAACAUGUUGCCGAUGAGUACAUAACUCUUGCAAUCAGCGUACAAACGUUAUUUUAAUCACUUUUCAGUCACCUUGCUAUCAUUAAAAAUCAUCGUAAAAUCACUUUUAAUCAAUAACAAUCCCUUGAAAUAAUUCACAAUCCCUUGCGAUUAUUUGAAACAACUUGAAUACAUUCUAAAAACAUAUGAAAUCAACAAUCAUUUUGAAAUCACUACUUAAUCACCAUGAUAUCACGAACAGUCAAAUGUAAUCAUUUGGCUUACACAUACAUCUUACAACAACAAAAAAAAGAAUUUCCGUUUUAAAAUGUUGCUUAACAAAUCAAUUUAUAAAAUUUAUACCUUAUAUUCAAUGCGUCUAUCUUUUCAAUUGUUAUAAUUUAAUGCGAUAAAUUGCAUGGAAGUACAAAAUAAAGUAUUGCCCCAUGUAAUUCAUAUUAUUUCUUGGCCCUCGGCGUGCAUACAUCUUGCCAGAUGACGUACAUUGGGCCAGGGAACAUCAAAACUGGCAAAAAUUCCAUUUUACGUCCAUGUGUCUAAUA